AGCAGCCGCGGUAAUUCCAGCUCCAAUAGCGUAUAUUAAAGUUGUUGCAGUUAAAAAGCUCGUAGUUGAAUUUCGGAGUUCUACCGUCGGUCGGGCUACCAAGUCUGUACUGGUGUGUAGAAUUCCUACCUUCUGGGGAACUAUCAUGUUAUUAAUUUAGCGUGGUGGGAAACCAGGACUUUUACCUUGAAAAAAUUAGAGUGUUCAAAGCAGGCUUAUGUCUGAAUACAUUAGCAUGGAAUAAUAGAAUAGGACGGUGGUCCUGUUUUGUUGGUUUCUGAAUCACCGUAAUGAUUAAUAGGGAUAGUUGGGGGCAUUAGUAUUCAAUUGUCAGAGGUGAAAUUCUUGGAUUUAUUGAAGACUAACUUCUGCGAAAGCAUUUGCCAAGGAUGUUUUCAUUAAUCAAGAACGAAAGUUAGGGGAUCGAAGACGAUCAGAUACCGUCGUAGUCUUAACCAUAAACUAUGCCGACUAGGGAUCGGACGAUGUUAAAUUUUAUUGACUCGUUCGGCGCCUUACG
rnacentral:rRNA from 1 species